GUGGGGAAUAUUGCACAAUGGGGGAAACCCUGAUGCAGCAACGCCGCGUGAAGGAAGAAGUAUUUCGGUAUGUAAACUUCUAUCAGCAGGGAAGAAAAUGACGGUACCUGACUAAGAAGCCCCGGCUAACUACGUGCCAGCAGCCGCGGUAAUACGUAGGGGGCAAGCGUUAUCCGGAUUUACUGGGUGUAAAGGGAGCGUAGGUGGUAUGGCAAGUCAGAUGUGAAAGCCCGGGGCUCAACCCCGGGACUGCAUUUGAAACUGUCAGACUAGAGUGCAGGAGAGGUAAGUGGAAUUCCUAGUGUAGCGGUGAAAUGCGUAGAUAUUAGGAGGAACACCAGUGGCGAAGGCGGCUUACUGGACUGUAACUGACACUGAGGCUCGAAAGCGUGGGGAGCAAACAGGAUUAGAUACCCUGGUAGUCC
rnacentral:rRNA from 1 species